rnacentral:misc_RNA from 1 species
AUUAACCACAAAACCUUAGCUUCUUUCCAUUUCAAUGGCAGAACCUCAAACACAACCCACCCAUGUAGCUAUUUUACCCAGUCCCGGGAUGGGUCACCUCAUCCCGCUUGUUGAAUUAGCUAAGCGAAUCGUUUCUCAACAUAAUGAUCUCUUCAUCACCUUCAUUGUACCAACCGAUGGUUCUCCCUCUAAGGCCCAAAAAUUGGUUCUUGAAUCGCUUCCUACCACAAUAAGCUCCACAUUUCUCCCUCCGGUUGACCUGAGUGAUCUCCCUGAAGAUACUAAGAUAGAAACGGUAAUUUCCAUCACGGUGGCACGCUCGCUCCCAUCUGUUAGAGAUNNAUGUGUUAAAGUCUCUUGUUGAAAGCACUCGACUGGUUGCCCUGGUCGUUGAUCUCUUUGGCACGGAUGCAUUCGAUGUUGCUCGAGAAUUCAGCAUCUCUCCCUACAUUUCCUUCCCAUGUACCGGUAUACAGCCGGGUAUUUCCACUGGUUCUUCUAGCUCACUAUACUCGCAAGAAACCGUCUCAUCCAGCUUUGGCAACCUAAAGAACAGAGACAAAGUCAUAGCUGUAG